rnacentral:rRNA from 1 species
GAUGAACGCUAGCGAUAGGCUUAACACAUGCAAGUCGAGGGGCAUCACAUGAGUAGCAAUACGAUGGUGGCGACCGGCGCACGGGUGAGUAACACGUAUGCAACCUGCCCAUAACUGGGGAAUAACCCGUCGAAAGGCGGACUAAUACCGCAUAGCAAUGAUUGUCUGCAUGGACGAUUAUUUAAAGAUUUAUCGGUUAUGGAUGGGCAUGCGUUCCAUUAGAUAGUUGGUAGGGUAACGGCCUACCAAGUCUACGAUGGAUAGGGGUUCUGAGAGGAAGGUCCCCCACACUGGUACUGAGACACGGACCAGACUCGUACGGGAGGCAGCAGUGAGGAAUAUUGGUCAAUGGUCGAGAGACUGAACCAGCCAAAUCGCGUGAAGGAUGAAGGUAUUAUGUAUUGUAAACUUCUUCUGUCAGGGAAUAAAGUGCAUCACGUGUGAUGUUUUGUAUGUACCUGAAGAAUAAGGAUCGGCUAACUUCGUGCCAGCCGCCGCAGUAAUAC